UACGAAGGGGGCUAGCGUUGCUCGGAAUCACUGGGCGUAAAGCGCACGUAGGCGGGUUGUUAAGUCAGGGGUGAAAUCCUGGAGCUCAACUCCAGAACUGCCUUCGAUACUGGCAACCUAGAGACUGGAAGAGGUUAGUGGAAUUCCCAGUGUAGAGGUGAAAUUCGUAGAUAUUGGGAAGAACACCAGUGGCGAAGGCGGCUAACUGGUCCAGCACUGACGCUGAGGUGCGAAAGCGUGGGGAGCAAACAGG
rnacentral:rRNA from 1 species